rnacentral:lncRNA from 1 species
UACGAAGGGCAUACCCUGAGAUGUAUAUCAUAUCGUAACCCAGAUCAAACUAACCUUAAGCAACAGGAAAAAAAACAAAAGCUAAAAAAAACUCAAAAUAAAACUGAAAACAAGACUUCCUAGACAUCAAUUGGCAAACCAGUAGAUUGAUUUGUGGAAAACUCAGAACCGGUUGACCGGUUUGCAAAAAUAGUAGAAAUGCUAAGUGGAACUCCAAGG